GCCAGUAUAGUGUAGUGGUUUCAUCGUUGGACUAUGACUCUGGAGAUUAGGGUUCAAUUCCCUCUCAAGCA